rnacentral:rRNA from 1 species
CCUACGGGAGCCAGCAGUGAGGAAUAUUGGUCAAUGGGCGGAAGCCUGAACCAGCCAAGUCGCGUGAGGGAUUAAGGCCCUGCGGGUCGUAAACCUCUUUUGCCGGGGAGCAGUGGUCCGGACGUGUCCGGGCCGGGAGAGUACCCGGAGAAAAAGCAUCGGCUAACUCCGUGCCAGCAGCCGCGGUAAUACGGAGGAUGCGAGCGUUAUCCGGAUUUAUUGGGUUUAAAGGGUGCGUAGGCGGGCAUUUAAGCCGGCGGUCAAAUGUCGGGGCUCAACCCCGGCCUGCCGUCGGAACUGGGUGCCUUGAGUGGGCGAGAAGUAUGCGGAAUGCGUGGUGUAGCGGUGAAAUGCAUAGAUAUCACGCAGAACCCCGAUUGCGAAGGCAGCAUACCGGCGCCCGACUGACGCUGAGGCACGAAAGUGCGGGUAUCGAACAGGAUUAGAUACCCCGGUAGUC